rnacentral:rRNA from 1 species
ACGCUGGCUGUGUGCCUAAUACAUACAUGUCGAGCGAGGUUAGCAAUAACCUAGCGGCGAAUGGGUGAGUAACACGUGCUUAAUCUACCUUUUAGAUUGGAAUACCCAUUGGAAACAAUGGCUAAUGCCGGAUACGCAUGGAACCGCAUGGUUCCGUUGUGAAAGGCGCUGUAAGGCGCCACUAAAAGAUGAGGGUGCGGAACAUUAGUUAGUUGGUGAGGUAAUGGCCCACCAAGACUAUGAUGUUUAGCCGGGUCGAGAGACUGAACGGCCACAUUGGGACUGAGAUACGGCCCAAACUCCUACGGGAGGCAGCAGUAGGGAAUAUUCCACAAUGAGCGAAAGCUUGAUGGAGCGACACAGCGUGCACGAUGAAGGUCUUCGGAUUGUAAAGUGCUGUUAUAAGGGAAGAACAUUUGCAAUAGGAAAUGAUUGCAGACUGACGGUACCUUGUCAGAAAGCGAUGGCUAACUAUGUGCCAGCAGCCGCGGUAAUACAUAGGUCGCAAGCGUUAUCCGGAAUUAUUGGGCGUAAAGCGUUCGUAGGCUGUUUGUUAAGUCUGGAGUUAAAUCCCGGGGCUCAACCCCGGCUCGCUUUGGAUACUAACAAACUAGAGUUAGAUAGAGGUAAGCGGAAUUCCAUGUGAAGCGGUGAAAUGCGUAGAUAUAUGGAAGAACACCAAAGGCGAAGGCAGCUUACUGGGUCUAUACUGACGCUGAGGGACGAAAGCGU